GAAUGGCUUCAGACACUCUCACAUUAAGUUUAGACACGGAGAUUAGCCUGGUGCCCGCACAAGGAUGGAAUGCAGAUUCAUGAAGGGGUCCAUAUUAGA
rnacentral:snRNA from 1 species